AGAACAAUGGCUGAAAAUCUAACACAUUGCAGUGGAUGCAAUUACCCUUGUCAAAUAGGGUGAUUGAACCACAACCCCAAAUCAACAUGUUCAGAUUCUUCAAGACAGAUCCUUUUAGGCAAAAGAUAUAAAGAUGCAAAAGAGGUAGCCAUCUUGUUUGAAGAGACAUUUUACAACAGCAAAGAUGAGAGUUACCGUGUUGUGUGUGUCAGAGGUCUUCAACAGAGCUGUG